GGGCCUCCUGGCCCCCCUGGGCCCCCAGCACCUGUUGGGCCACCCCAUGCCCGGAUCUCCCAGCAUGGAGACCCAUUGCUGUCCAACACCUUCACUGAGACCAACAACCACUGGCCCCAGGGACCCACUGGGCCUCCAGGCCCUCCAGGGCCCAUGGGUCCCCCUGGGCCUCCUGGCCCCACAGGUGUCCCUGGGAGUCCUGGUCACAUAGGACCCCCAGGCCCCACUGGACCCAAAGGAAUCUCUGGCCACCCAGGAGAGAAGGGCGAGAGAGGACUGCGUGGGGAGCCUGGCCCCCAAGGCUCUGCUGGGCAGCGGGGGGAACCUGGCCCUAAGGGAGACCCUGGUGAGAAGAGCCACUGGGGGGAGGGGUUGCACCAGCUACGCGAGGCUUUGAAGAUUUUAGCUGAGAGGGUUUUAAUCUUGGAAACAAUGAUUGGGCUCUAUGGCUCCUAGCUUACAGAGCUUCCUGCAGCAGCAGGCUCAGCUGGAGCUCCUGGCCAGACGGGUCACCCUCCUGGAAGCCAUCAUCUGGCCAGGUAAUGGCAGGGCGGGCAGGCAGGGGCAGCCUCUUCCAGGAAGGGCCUGGAAAAGGCCUGGGCAUGCAGAAGGCGCCUUCCGAUGCUUGGCCCAGGCCAGCGGACACUCAUUCUUCAUCCAGCCAGCCAGCCAGCAAAUGGUGCCUGGCAGAGAGAAGGCUCUGGUCACUUGAGUGAAUGCGCACCUGCUCUGUGCCAGGCACCUUGCUGGGACAGGCUCCACAAGAUAAGACAGACACAGUCCUGCCCUU
rnacentral:sRNA from 1 species